rnacentral:tmRNA from 1 species
AUGGACAAUGAAAUAAACUCAUUGGACCCGGGGGCGGUACCCGGCGCCUCCACCAAAGUAUAAGCAACAAAUUAUAUUUUAGUGGGGGCGAAAUAGGAUCGACAAGAGCGUAAAGAUUGCUUUUUUACUCGGUAUAGUACCACCGUUAUCGGACUAAAUGGUUAGUUGCAAAUGACAACUAUGCGGAAGCACGUCUCGCUGCUUAAUGCGGUGCGAAUGUUUCAAAUUAAGUCUUAAAUCGUCGCAGAUUUAAG